rnacentral:lncRNA from 1 species
GGCGCCAUUUGUAAACAAAACGCUAUCGCUUUUAUGUCUCCCUUUAAGCCAUAUAAUUUCUGUUAGAAAUUUUUUCAUAUUUGAAGCCGUUUCCGAAAUCCAGGGGUGAAGUCAGACUUUAGAGAUACUCUACUAUAGGAAUUUAGGAUGAAACAACCUCAACAUAUACGCCUAUUAGCGUUCCGCAAUUAUUUGGAUAUUUCCUCGCGAACACCGCUAAUAUUUGCUGCCGAUAUUUUGAUUGCGUCUGUUGCUUCUUGUUGACGUGCGACCUAUUUUUAUACGAAAAAUGAAUACUUUUUUGUCCAAAGCGUAAUCAGAUCUCUCGAAUCUGAUGCCGGUUCGCGCGUUCAAUUUCUCGACGUCUCACAGCCAGCGGUGGGCAAGAAUUCAAAUCCACCAUGUAUUUUGCCGAUAUUUUGAUUACGUCUGUUGCCUCUUGUUGACGUAUGACCUAUUUUUAUACGAAAAACGAAUACUUUUUUGUCCAAAGUGUAAUCAGAUCUCUCAAUUCUGAUGCCGGUGCGCGCGUUCAAUUUCUCGACGUCUCACAGCCGACGAUGGGCAAGAAUUCAGGUCCACCAUGUAUAUCUGUAUUCUGUAGUGUUGAAUAUAGGAAGAUGACCUUCGCCAUCGGAAUUAGAAAUAAAGGCGUUACCUAAGUAAACUCUCUGUACAAGGUUCAGGAGAGGAAUAUAAUCAGUGGAUUUCUCAGGGUUAGAAAUAAUGACGUGGAAAGGAGUGACGGUACGUGGUUGUAUCACGAUGGAUCCUUCUUCUAUAAAAGUAACAUAUAGACAGGCACAUGCGUUAAUUAAUUAUUAAGACUGGCGACGGAAGUCUCCGAGAUAAGCGGGGUGAGAAAAACAGGCCACCGUGAGCGCUCUGGAAUCCUCGAGUAACCCGAUCCCAUAUCAGGUAACAUAGAGCAUCCUGUUGACCAAGCUCCUUAUCACAUCCGGCGGCGCGCCGAGAUGUCUCGACACCUCGUCGGCAUCAAGCCACUCACAAUUAAAUACGCUUUUUAGGGGUAGAAAGCACCCCUCAACUCCUGGAGGUGGAAACAGUUAUGGCUAAUUAUUUCUGAAACGAUACAUUUUCUGAAAUAAGUGCUUAGGACCAAAGUUGUAGAGUUCAAAAUGAUGCACUUGAUGGCGACUUUGAAGUCGACCUUGAAGUCGUUUUUCAAGGUCAUUUGAAAAUCAUUUCAUGUUUUUCAAAGGGAGAAGUUUACUUUCCAUCCCGAGAAUCGAUAGAGCGUAAAAUUUUACAUUCAGAACGUUGGCGGUUUGUAAAUAAAGCAAGCCUCUGCAAGUAAAACUCUAACUAGUGCAGCCAGUGAGCCAGUUCAGCUAAAACGAACAGACCAAGGACUGCGUUCUGAUAUAAAGCCAGCAGCACACGAUGCUUCUUUUCAUACUGAAUUACUUGAUGGAUUUGCGUGCUUGCUACUGUAUGGACAGCUGUGCUGGCAAUGCUACUGGCCGAGUUACCGGUUAGGCUUCACACGGUGCAAGUUUUCGUGCUGGCUGAGCAGCUGAUCUCAACUCUAUUACAAAGGAA